rnacentral:rRNA from 1 species
GAUGAACGCUGGCGGCGUGCUUAACACAUGCAAGUCGAACGAUGAAGCCCAGCUUGCUGGGUGGAUUAGUGGCGAACGGGUGAGUAACACGUGAGUAACCUGCCCUUAACUCUGGGAUAAGCCUGGGAAACUGGGUCUAAUACCGGAUAGGAGCGCCUACCGCAUGGUGGGUGUUGGAAAGAUUUAUCGGUUUUGGAUGGACUCGCGGCCUAUCAGCUUGUUGGUGAGGCAAUGGCUCACCAAGGCGACGACGGGUAGCCGGCCUGAGAGGGUGACCGGCCACACUGGGACUGAGACACGGCCCAGACUCCUACGGGAGGCAGCAGUGGGGAAUAUUGCACAAUGGGCGAAAGCCUGAUGCAGCGACGCCGCGUGAGGGAUGACGGCCUUCGGGUUGUAAACCUCUUUCAGUAGGGAAGAAGCGAAAGUGACGGUACCUGCAGAAGAAGCACCGGCUAACUACGUG